CCGAUUUACACGAUAAAACAAUAUAUCAAAUAGAAAGCUCAACUCGCCCUCAAUUUAAUAGUCAAUCCAUCAAAAUCACAUACACAUAACUAUAUGCAUUGUAUAUACAUGUAAUAAAAAAAGACAUUCAUAAAUCCACCAAGGGAGCUUAACUCAAGCAUAACAUUCAUAUAAUACCCAUAUAGAUAUUCAUCCAUGAUAUGCAACAUACAAAAUAAACAUAAUACACAACUCUAUUUUCAAGUUUCAAUGCAAAGCAGCUAAGAGUUUGCAUGAUAAAGGUAUAGAUCAAAAGAAAGGCGAUGCAGGAGUGACUCUAAAGAUAAGCUCUUAAUGUCAUUUGAGAAGUUUAACAUUUAAUAUAAAAAUAGUGUUUAUAAUUAUCAUAGGAUCCAAUGCAGUCCUAACAUGGAAUCAUGUACAACAGACCACAUUAACAUAGCAAAUACUCAAACAAUUUGUAUAAGAAAAAUAUUUGGAAUCCAAAAUGCAUACACAAUCCAAUACAUUAGAGACCUUAUAUUAGCCAUCUCGUGUCAAUGCUUGGUAGUGAAUUGUAGAGACUUUGUUUUAAAUCCAUCAUGUGAGCGCCAAUGAAACUCUACUCAAGCCAAUCUUAUCCGUCCAUAUUCAUAUCAAAAGAGAGGGAGAGAAAUACACAAGAAUGUGAGAGAUGGAGUUAAAAAUGAAUGAGAGACUAUUUAGUUAAUAAAAUAAAAUCUUAGUUAAUGGUUAAAUAUAAAUAAUGGAUCAAUUAAUAAAUAAUAAAAAAAAUUAAGAGCUCUAAAAUAAUUCACCCAAGAUUUUUUUUAGCAUAUUAUCUUAAUAAGCAGUAAACGGAGUAUAAAUUCAAUCGAGGAAGGUCCAAUUAAAACAACUUAACGCGAUAGUUAACUUUCACAUAAUUUGUCAAACUCUAAGUUAAUUAAAUUACUUCUAGAUUUAUACAUUUGAUUAAAAUUAUAUUUCAUUAUGUUGCCUUUUCUAUGCUAAAGUAAUAAAAAAAAAAGGAAAGGAAAAUAUAAAUUAUAUAUCUAAUAAGAGCAAAAUUCGUAGUAAAUGAUUCUUUUCACAGCAAUAAAUAAAAUAAAUUUAUGAAAUUCUAAGCAAUUAUUGCUUCAUCAUUUAAUUCCUAAAAACUCAUAACAAGCUACAUUCUAAUAAAAGAUAUUACUUAAAACAUCAGUAUUUAUUUCUCCCUCCCAUUUUACUUGUGGACUCAAACCAUAUAAAUAAAAAUUGAUAACCCAUACAGAAAACCUAGGAAACAGUAAAGCUUCUACAAAUAAAUUGAAAAGCUGUAUGAAAAAUCCAAGCACCAAAUAACAUCAACAAUGCUGAGCUGAGCUGCAAAGCCAAAAAAAUAGAAUCCAACAGGAUAGGGGUAAGGUGACACCUAAUUAUCAUUAUGAAAAUCGAUCACAAUGUAUUAUAAAAAUCAAAUACCCAAUUAACUUGGUGACUGAAAAUUCAAAUUUAAAUACGCAAAUGCAUUAUGAAAAUUAAAUACCUAAACUGAAAUACACAUUCAGUAAGGAUGAUUAUUGAGAGUUGAGAAAAAAAAAUUCUUUUGGGUUUCGUAGUUGUAGCUUAUGGGAAAGAGAACAAAAUGAAGAAACUUGAACUGUCGACUUACUUUUUAAUAGAGAUAAAUUCGAGUCUACCAUAACCAUAGGGCUUUUAAAAAUUUAUAAAAUUACAUAUAUAUCCCUAAAGUUUUUUAAAAUUGCUGGUGGCCCAAGUGUCCCUCAACCUACGCUGGCUCUUCUCUGGCUUUCUGCUAAUAAUAGCAAUUAACAAUCACGUCAGUGCAAAAUAAAUAUGAGGAUUACUAGCAAAAUCCUCCUUGGAUUUUUGUUGUCAAGGAGAAAAUGCGGAGACAGGGCCAAGUCACGUGCCAUACGCCACUGCACGUGACUUGGAAGACCUAGUCAAAUGACAAAGCAACCCAAUUGGAGGGAAAAUAAUCUAGCCGUCCAUUUUACAUCGCACGAUCAUCAUUAAAUUGCAUAAACAAAUAUUAAAAACGUAACAAAUAAAAUUAAAAAAAAAAAUCAAAUAUAGGGUGGAGAGAAAGAAGGAAGGAAAGUGCUGAGAGGUUUGGCGAAGAUGACAGAGAAAGCGCCGAUUUUUGGAUUUGUUAGCAAUCGAACUUGAAAUCGAAAACACACCCAGAAAACUAAGCCCAUUCAUCUUUCACCCCCUGAUUUUCUCGUGAAUAACAUCCUUUUCUCUGUAACCAAAUGAAGUAUACAAAGUCUUCUGUAAGUUUUUGCUGCUGCUGACGGUGCAACUGUGUAAUGUACUAAAUCUCCUCCUCUCUCUUUCUUGCAUUUAUGGUUUUUUUUGGUUGUUGAGAAGCUGUAAUGAGAAUUAUGAUUGAAGAUUUCUAAAUUUUAUAUUUCUUCUUUUCUUAUUUUCUCAGCAACCAAACUGUUGUUUGUGUUGUGUCGGUCAUUUAUUUUCUGUGUCUUAAAAUGCAGGCUGGUUGAAGAGAAACUUUUUGUAGAUUCCAUUGCAUUGACCCCAGAUCUUCAGGUGAACACCGAUUUUCUAACAUCAUUACUCUAAUAAUCAAAGUUUCCUCUAUUUUCUGUGCUUUUCCUAGAAAACAUCUAGAUGGCUCAUCCCCUUUUGUUUCUUACACUUCCCUUUCCACUUAGUUCCCAUUGAUUUGCUAACAAUAGAAACUCCUAGUUUUUAUAUAACGUAUUGUUUGCAGCAAAAAUUAGUCUAGAACUUUACUUCUUUUUUACUUGCCAAGGGAAAAAUCCAAGUUUCUUGAACUUCUUCAUUUUCUUUUUUGUUGUGUGGAAGUAACACGCCUUUAUCACUGGCGAAUUUUCCUGUCUUUUUCUAUGAUUUAUGAAUAAUUUCUCGCACUUUCUCCCAAAUUUUGUUGCACAGAGAGAGAGAGAGAGAGA
rnacentral:misc_RNA from 1 species